rnacentral:rRNA from 1 species
CCUACGGGAGGCAGCAGUAGGGAAUAUUGCUCAAUGGGGGAAACCCUGAAGCAGCAACGCCGCGUGGAGGAUGAAGGUUUUCGGAUUGUAAACUCCUUUUGUUAGAGAAGAUAAUGACGGUAUCUAACGAAUAAGCACCGGCUAACUCCGUGCCAGCAGCCGCGGUAAUACGGAGGGUGCAAGCGUUACUCGGAAUCACUGGGCGUAAAGAGCGCGUAGGCGGGGUAGCAAGUCAGAUGUGAAAUCCUAGGGCUUAACCAUAGAACUGCAUUUGAAACUGUUAUUCUAGAGUAUGGGAGAGGUAGGUGGAAUUCUUGGUGUAGGGGUAAAAUCCGUAGAGAUCAAGAGGAAUACUCAUUGCGAAGGCGACCUGCUAGAACAUAACUGACGCUGAUGCGCGAAAGCGUGGGGAGCAAACAGGAUUAGAUACCCCUGUAGUC